UGGGGAAUUUUGGACAAUGGGCGCAAGCCUGAUGCAGCAACGCCGCGUGAGGGACGACGGCCUUCGGGUUGUAAACCUCUUUUGGCAGGGAAGAAGCGAAAGUGACGGUACCUGCAGAAAAAGCACCGGCUAACUACGUGCCAGCAGCCGCGGUGAUACGUAGGGUGCAAGCGUUGUCCGGAAUUAUUGGGCGUAAAGAGCUCGUAGGCGGUUUGUCGCGUCUGCUGUGAAAACCCGAGGCUCAACCUCGGGCCUGCAGUGGGUACGGGCAAACUAGAGUGCGGUAGGGGAGAUUGGAAUUCCUGGUGUAGCGGUGGAAUGCGCAGAUAUCAGGAGGAACACCGAUGGCGAAGGCAGAUCUCUGGGCCGUAACUGACGCUGAGGAGCGAAAGCAUGGGGAGCGAACA
rnacentral:rRNA from 1 species